rnacentral:snRNA from 1 species
GUCCCAUUUGGAGUGACAUAUGAAAAAAUCAGAAUGAUACAGAGAAGGGGUUUUUUGUCUUUGUCAAAGAUAUCACUGUAAUUCCCAGAGUGGUUGAUCUGUCCAUUUGUGGAAUUUUUCCUUUUUUGGAUACCUUGAUAUUUUGACCCAGUCAGUGUCUGGGUCAAAAAUAUAAUGUUGUUCAGUUAGCAUGGCCCUUGCACGAGGAUGACACACUUUCCCAGAGUGGUAGAUUUACAGAUCUCAAUAUUUAU